AAGUUUGAUCCUGGCUCAGGAUUAACGCUGGCGGCGUGCCUAAUACAUGCAAGUCGAACGGGAACCUCUAAAAGGAGGUUUUUAGUGGCGAACGGGUGAGUAACACGUAAGUAACCUGCCUUUAAGACGAGGAUAACAACCGGAAGGUUACUAAGACUGGAUAGGAAACAAAAAGGCAUCUUUUUGUUUUUAAAAGACCUUCUUACAAGGUAUGCUUAAAGAGGGGCUUGCGCCACAUUAGUUAGUUGGUAGAGUAAAAGCCUACCAAGACGAUGAUGUGUAGCUGGACUGAGAGGUUGAACAGCCACAUUGGGACUGAGACACGGCCCAAACUCCUACGGGAGGCAGCAGUAGGGAAUUUUCGGCAAUGGAGGAAACUCUGACCGAGCAACGCCGCGUGAACGAUGAAGUAUUUCGGUAUGUAAAGUUCUUUUAUUGAAGAAGAAAAAGUAGUGGAAAAACUAUAUUGACGUUAUUCAAUGAAUAAGCCCCGGCUAACUAUGUGCCAGCAGCCGCGGUAAGACAUAGGGGGCGAGCGUUAUCCGGAAUUAUUGGGCGUAAAGGGUGCGUAGGCUGUUAGAUAAGUCUAUAAUUUAAUUUCAGUGCUUAACGCUGUCUUGUUAUAGAAACUGUCUUGACUAGAGUGAGAUAGAGGCAAGCGGAAUUCCAUGUGUAGCGGUAAAAUGUGUAAAUAUAUGGAGGAACACCAGAAGCGUAGGCGGCUUGCUGGGUCUUUACUGACGCUGAGGCACGAAAGCGUGGGUAGCAAACAGGAUUAGAUACCCUGGUAGUCCACGCCGUAAACGAUGAGUACUAAGUGUCGGGGUAAAACUCGGUACUGAAGUUAACACAUUAAGUACUCCGCCUGAGUAGUACGUACGCAAGUAUGAAACUUAAAGGAAUUGACGGGACUCCGCACAAGCGGUGGAUCAUGUUGUUUAAUUCGAAGAUACACGAAAAAUCUUACCAGGUCUUGACAUACUCUGCAAAGCUAUAGAAAUAUAGUGGAGAUCAGGGAUACAGGUGGUGCAUGGUUGUCGUCAGUUCGUGUCGUGAGAUGUUAGGUUAAGUCCUAAAACGAACGCAACCCUUGUCGUUAAUUGCCAGCACAUAAUGGUGGGGACUU
rnacentral:rRNA from 1 species